rnacentral:rRNA from 1 species
GUACACACCGCCCGUCAAGCCAUGAGAGCCGGUUCUAUCUAAAGCCGUUAGCCCAACCGUAAGGGGGGCGGCGUCUAGGGUAGGGUCKRUGAUCGGGGCUAAGUCGUAACAAGGUAGCAGUAGGUGAACCUGCAGAAGGAUCA